rnacentral:lncRNA from 1 species
AAAACACGGAAAAAUAGUACAAGUAAAUACAUUGAUUAAAAAAAUUGUUAAUAUAACUAAUAUAAGAUGAUAAAAGUUCAUAAUGACAUUAAUUGCAGACUAGUAAUACAUUAAUCCAGAAUGCAUGAUACCAUACAUUUAGUACAUUACUAGCUUGGCCAUUGUUGAUGACAUUAAAGUGUUGACCUGUUGGAAAUUAACAGUUUAAGAAUUGUUCCUUUCUUUGAGCAACUUCCACUGCCUAAUCAUUUUUGCCUCUUUCCAGUCAAUGUCUAGGUUGUAUUCAUUGGAUCUUGAGAGAGCAGAAGUCUGAUCAAGUCGGCUGUCUUGUUUAUGCUCUGCCAAGUGAUUUCCUAAAUUGCUUGGUGACAUCAAUGUACUCUUCUCACUGGUGUAGAUAAAAAUGUACGGGUCUGGAUCAUGAUUAUAUAGUGAAAUUGGGUAGGUCCUGGUUCAUUUGCUGGCAUGGUAAUGGGAUUUGUCAUUUUGUAAUCUUUUUUUGUACAGAGUUGGAUGCCUGAUGGUUAUCAUCCUUAUGUUUAGUUUCUUAGCAAUAUUCUUAAUCAUAUUAAGCUUGGAUACCCUAUAUGUAGUUUGGCAGUCCUUCAUUGUUUUCUUGAAUAAAUGUGUAGCAGGUUAGGCUUGGUUAGUCCUUGGAUAACUUCAUAAAUUUAUAUUUAUAACUGUAAUUUUUAAUACAGAGUAUGAUCUUAUAGAAGUUUAUUUAAUCUUAAAAAAUCCCUGGCAACAAGCUUAGAGGCUAUGACUAUACCAUCAAUUCCUCAGAAGACUUUAUUAAUGAAAUCAAUGCUGCUUCCUUUGAAUAAUGAAAUUACAAAUGUACUUGAUUUUGAGGAGCUAUUUCUAUCCUUAAAAGUUUCUACCAAGGUGCCUAGCUAUAUACAGAUUCUUCUCACAAAUCUUUCUGAACUGAUAGUAGCCCACCAUUUUAAGAGAAUGCUGUGAUAUUCUCUGCUAUGAAUCAUACUUUGCCUGUAAUGGAAAUUUUUAAAAUUAAAAACAAGAUGUCGCCAUAGGAGAUCCUAUGGCAGAUUCUGCUAAGGCAUAUGGAAUCCUACAUCAUUGACAAUUUCUAAGCAUCAGUUAAAAUCUACCUGCACUAUGUUGAUGAUAUUUAUGUUACUUGGAAUGAUCAUAAUAGAUUGCUAGAAUUGUUGGAUGCCUUUACCUCUAUGAAUGCUACUUGAAGCUAAACUUAGAACAAUGCAAUUGUAGUUUUUUGAUUCACUUCCUAGACAUUAAUAUUAAAAUCAAGCAAAGGCAAUACAAAACUACAGUUUAUAGAAAACUGACAUAUUGUCCUGCCCUCAUAUGACCUAUUAAACAGUAAAAAGGCAGCCUUCCAUUAAUUUUUUUGAAGGAUUUUCAAAAUACUGCUUCACAAAUGAAAGCCAGCAUGAUGAAUUCUAUAAGAUCAUAUCCUUGGGUAAAAAUUAUGAUUAAAAAUAUAAAUUUGGGAAAUCUGUGAAAGAAUUAAAGAGAUAUCUACUAUUGCACUUCGGUGGACUGGCCAAUCCUGAC